rnacentral:rRNA from 1 species
AUUGAACGCUGGCGGCAGGCCUAACACAUGCAAGUCGAACGAGCGGCGGGCGGGUGAGUAAUGCCUGGAAAUUGCCCAGGCGAGGGGGAUAACAGUUAGAAACGACUGCUAAUACCGCAACAGAUUGGAUUGCCGAGGUGGUAUUUGCUUGUUGGUGAGGUAAUGGCUCACCAAGGCGACGAUCCCUAGCUGCUCUGAGAGGAUGACCAGCCACACUGGAACUGAGCCACGGUCCAGACUCCUACGGGAGGCAGCAUUGGGGAAUAUUGCACAAUGGGGGAAACCCUGAUGCAGCCAUGCCGCGUGUGUGAAGAAGGCCUUCGGGUUGUAAAGCACUUUCAGCGAGGAGGCGUUACUCGCAGAAGAAGCACCGGCUAACUCCGUGCCAGCAGCCGCGGUAAUUC